GGGUUUGUUAGUUGGAGGGAUGUUGACCUCUGCAAAUGUGAUUGGUUUGGGGUUGGAAACAUGUUUAUAUUGUGGGGGAAAUAAUACUAGCCCCUGAGAGGAGAGCCUGUGCCAGUGAGCACUCCCAGCCCUCACAGCGAUGGGCAGGCAUGAUGCAGCUCACCUGGCAAUUCCUGAUCCCGCUGACCUCUCCCCGCAGCCUGGCGUCUCUCCCUCGGGCACUCGGCGUCUCCAGACGCUCUUUUCUUUCCCCUCGCCAUUCACCGGAGAGCUGUUUCUCACCGGCCACAUCUUUGCAGCGAGCCUAAUUAGACGGGAGCCUAAUUAGAGCGGAGCAGGAGCGGCCUGAACAAAGCUGGAGCUGCUGGUCCCAGAUCCAGGAAGAGCCCAGAGCAGGGCUGAAUCAGUGCCCUACUCUUCUGGGAGAUGUGUAUGGAAGAGAAGCAUGAGCAGGAACCCCAGCUGGAAAGCUCAUCUCAGCUGUCAAUAGGCCCCUUUCUUGAGAGUUGCAGCAGCCAAGUGAAGGCAAAUAGAGAAAACAGAAGUAUGAACUCUUCUCCUCUUCCUCAGGAAUUAUUGGCUGUCCCUGCAGCGUCUGGGCUGGGCCCCCCCAACCUAUUUGGCAGGUGUUAGCACUGCAGAGUUCCCGAAAUCAUGGCACUGUCAAGCUGAAUGAGAAACAGCUAUGGAGAAGGAGCCACAUAGGUCCUCAGGGCACAAGGAGCCCUGGACUUUAUUCCCAGAUCUACCACCAACCUUGGACAAGGCACUUGACUUUGUGCCUCAGUUUCCCAAGCGCUGAAGCAGCAAUAAUUAAGGCUGGUUGCUUAGGAGGUUGUUUGUGAACCGCCCCACCAAGCCCCAACCCUGUUAUUAGUCCUUGGCCCUGUUAUUAGACCUAAAUCCAACUUGCUUAAGAAUGAAGACUCCUGUGAAAAGCACACAAAUGGUUUCCCAUGUCAUCAUUUUUAUUAAAGUUCACAAACAGCUGAAGAAAACAAACAAACAAACAGAAACAGAAACAAAAAAGAGGACAGAAGAUGUAAAUAAACAUCACUGAGAGAGCACCAGGGGCUGCCUGUGCACAACCUGUGCCCUCCCCGGCAGCACCGCGUGCUCACUGCUCCGAGAAGACCUCUGUUGUUUGAAGCUGUGUCAAGGCUUUUCAUCACA